rfam:Schistosoma curassoni strain Dakar, Senegal genome assembly, scaffold: SCTD_scaffold0003089
AUCCAGCCGACGUGUCCAAAAUGGGACGAAACACACGUCCUGGAU